GACUCUCGGCAACGGAUAUCUCGGCUCUCGCAUCGAUGAAGAACGUAGCGAAAUGCGGUACCUAGUGUGAAUUGCAGAAUCCCGCGAACCAUCGAGUCUUUGAACGCAAGUUGCGCCCGAGGCCACUCGGCCGAGGGCACGCCUGCCUAGGCGUCA
rnacentral:rRNA from 16 species